rnacentral:rRNA from 1 species
UACAGAGACUGCAAGCGUUAUUCGGAUUCACUGGGCGUAAAGGGUGCGCAGGCGGCCAAGUGUGUGAGGCGUGAAAGUCCGGGGCUCAACCCCGGGAGGCGGGCGGAUACUGUCGGGCUAGAGUCCGGAAGAGGCGAGUGGAAUUCCUGGUGUAGCGGUGAAAUGCGCAGAUAUCAGGAGGAACACCAAUGGCGAAGGCAGCUCGCUGGGACGUUACUGACACUGAGGCGCGAAAGCGUGGGGAGCGAACAGG